rnacentral:rRNA from 1 species
AGAGUUUGAUUAUGGCUCAGAUUGAACGCUGGCGGCAGGCCUAACACAUGCAAGUCGGGCGGUAGCACAGGGGAGCUUGCUCCCCGGGUGACGAGCGGCGGACGGGUGAGUAAUGUCUGGGGAUCUGCCUGAUGGAGGGGGAUAACUACUGGAAACGGUAGCUAAUACCGCGUAACGUCGCAAGACCAAAGCGGGGGACCUUCGGGCCUCGCGCCAUCAGAUGAACCCAGAUGGGAUUAGCUAGUAGGUGGGGUAAUGGCUCACCUAGGCGACGAUCCCUAGCUGGUCUGAGAGGAUGACCAGCCACACUGGGACUGAGACACGGCCCAGACUCCUACGGGAGGCAGCAGUGGGGAAUAUUGCACAAUGGGCGCAAGCCUGAUGCAGCCAUGCCGCGUGUAUGAAGAAGGCCUUCGGGUUGUAAAGCACUUUCAGUCGUGAGGAAGGUGGUGUUGUUAAUAGCAGCAUCAUUUGACGUUAGCGACAGAAGAAGCACCGGCUAACUCCGUGCCAGCAGCCGCGGUAAU